UACGUAGGGUGCAAGCGUUGUCCGGAAUUAUUGGGCGUAAAGAGCUCGUAGGCGGUUUGUCGCGUCUGCUGUGAAACCCCGAGGCUCAACCUCGGGCCUGCAGUGGGUACGGGCAGACUAGAGUGCGGUAGGGGAGAUUGGAAUUCCUGGUGUAGCGGUGGAAUGCGCAGAUAUCAGGAGGAACACCGAUGGCGAAGGCAGAUCUCUGGGCCGUAACUGACGCUGAGGAGCGAAAGCAUGGGGAGCAAACAGGAUUAGAUACCCUGGUAGUCCAUGCCGUAAACGUUGGGAACUAGAUGUAGGGUCCAUUCCACGGAUUCUGUGUCGCAGCUAACGCAUUAAGUUCCCCGCCUGGGGAGUACGGCCGCAAGGCUAAAACUCAAAG
rnacentral:rRNA from 1 species